rnacentral:rRNA from 1 species
AAGGCUAAAACAGUCAGGAUGUUGGCUUAGAAGCAGCCAUCAUUUAAAGAAAGCGUAAUAGCUCACUGAUCGAGUCGUCCUGCGCGGAAGAUGUAACGGGGCUAAGCCAGUUACCGAAGCUGCGGAUGCACAGCAAUGUGCGUGGUAGGAGAGCGUUCUGUAAGCCUGUGAAGGUGGCUUGUAAAGGCUGCUGGAGGUAUCAGAAGUGCGAAUGCUGACAUGAGUAGCGUUAAAGCGGGUGAAAAGCCCGCUCGCCGUAAGCGCAAGGUUUCCUACGCAACGUUCAUCGGCGUAGGGUAAGUCGGCCCCUAAGGCGAGGCAGAGAUGCGUAGCUGAUGGGAAGCAGGUCAAUAUUCCUGCACCGAUUACAAGUGCGAUGUGGGGACGGAUCUUAAUAGGUUAUCCGGCGGUUGGAAGUGCCGGUUUAGACAGAAGUAGGCGAGAGUUAGGCAAAUCCGGCUCUCAUAUACCGAGGCUGUCGAUCGAGCGAACUCAGUUCGCGAAGUAACUGAACGGGGUCCCAGGAAAAGCCACUAAGCUUCAGCUUGUAGUCGACCGUACCGCAAACCGACACUGGUGCGCGAGAUGAGUAUUCUCAGGCGCUUGAGAGAACUCGGGAGAAGGAACUCGGCAAAUUGACACCGUAACUUCGGAAGAAGGUGUGCCCUAGUAGCGUGUAGUGAACAACGAAGCGUGAAUGGGUUGCAAAAAAUAGGUGGCUGCGACUGUUUACUAAAAACACAGCACUCUGCAAACACGAAAGUGGACGUAUAGGGUGUGACGCCUGCCCGGUGCCGGAAGAUUAAUUGAUGGGGUGCAAGCUCUUGAUCGAAGUCCCGGUAAACGGCGGCCGUAACUAUAACGGUCCUAAGGUAGCGAAAUUCCUUGUCGGGUAAGUUCCGACCUGCACGAAUGGCGUAACGAUGGCCACACUGUCUCCUCCCGAGACUCAGCGAAGUUGAAAUGUUUGUGAUGAUGCAAUCUCCCCGCGGAAAGACGGAAAGACCCCAUGAACCUUUACUGUAGCUUUGUAUUGGACUUUGAACGGAUCUGUGUAGGAUAGGUGGGAGGCUUUGAAGAGCAGACGCUAGUUUGCUUGGAGCCGACGUUGAAAUACCACCCUGGUGCGUUUGAGGUUCUAACCUAGGUCCCUAAUCGGGAUCGGGGACAGUGCAUGGUAGGCAGUUUGACUGGGGCGGUCUCCUCCCAAAGCGUAACGGAGGAGUUCGAAGGUACGCUAGUUACGGUCGGACAUCGUGACGAUAGUGCAAUGGCAUAAGCGUGCUUAACUGCGAGACUGACAAGUCGAGCAGAUGCGAAAGCAGGACAUAGUGAUCCGGUGGUUCUGUAUGGAAGGGCCAUCGCUCAACGGAUAAAAGGUACUCUGGG